rnacentral:rRNA from 1 species
AGCGAACGUUAGCGGCGGGCCUAACACAUGCAAGUCGAGCGAGAAAGGGGCUUCGGCCCUGAGUAAAGCGGCGGACGGGUGAGUAACACGUGGGUAACCUGCCUUUCAGUGGGGGACAACGGUCCGAAAGGACCGCUAAUACCGCAUCCGUUUCCCGGGACCUGGUUCGGAAGGAAAGCUGGCAACUGGCGCUGAAAGAGGGGCCUACGUCGCAUCAGCUAGUUGGUGGGGUAAUGGCCUACCAAGGCGAAGACGCGUAGCUGGUCUGAGAGGAUGAUCAGCCACACUGGGACUGAGACACGGCCCAGACUCCUACGGGAGGCAGCAGUGGGGAAUAUUGGACAAUGGGGGAAACCCUGAUCCAGCCACGCCGCGUGAGUGAUGAAGGCCUCGGGUCGUAAAGCUCUGUGGGGAGGGACNAACGUCCCGCAUGACCUGCGGGGUGACGGUACCUCCUUAGCAAGCACCGGCUAACUUCCUGCCAGCAGCCGCGGUAAUACGAAGGGUGCAAACGUUGCUCGGAAUCAUUGGGCGUAAAGCGCACGUAGGCGGCUUCGCAAGUCGGAUGUGAAAUCCCUCGGCUCAACCAAGGACGUGCAUCCGAAACUGCGGGGCUUGAGUACAGAAGAGGAUCGCGGAAUUCCCGGUGUAGAGGUGAAUUNUAGAUAUCGGGAGGAACACCAGUGGCGAAGGCGGCGAUCUGGGCUGAUACUGACGCUGAGGUGCG